rnacentral:rRNA from 1 species
CUGUGCUUUUGCUGGAGGUUCAGGGGUGCUCUUAACCGAGUGUCUCUGAGUGCCAGCAGGUUUACUUUGAAGAAAAUUGGUUGCUCAAGGAAGGCUGUUAUGCCUGAAAAUUUGUGCAUGGAAUAAUAGAAUAGGAUGUUGAUCUUAUUUUGUUGGUUUUCAAGACUCGACAUAAUGAUUAAUAGGGACAGUCGGGGGCAUUUGUAUUCAAACGACAGAGGUGAAAUUCUUGGACCGUUUGAAGACAAACUACUGCGAAAGCAUUUGCCAAGAAUGUUUUCAUUAAUCAAGAACGAAAGUUAGAGGUUCGAAGGCGAUUAGAUACCGCCCUAGUUCUAACCAUAAACGAUGCCAGCUAGCGAUCUGCUGACGUUUUUACUGUAGACUCAGCAGGAAGCUUCCGGGAAACCAAAGCAUUUGGGUUCCAGGGGAAGUAUGGUUGCAAAGCUGAAACUUAAAGGAAUUGACGGAAGGGCACCACCAGGAGUGGAGCCUGUGGCUUAAUUUGACUCAACACGGGAAAUCUCACCAGGCCCGGACACUGGAAGGAUUGACAGAUUGAUAGCUCUUUCUUGAUUCGGUGGGUGGUGGUGCAUGGCCGUUCUUAGUUGGUGGAGUGAUUUGUCUGGUUAAUUCCGAUAACGAACGAGACUCUGUCCUGCUAAAUAGUGUUAUCUUCUUUUUUGAGAUGACAAUUCUUCUUAGAGGGACUGGCAACUCUUAGUUGCACGAGAUUGAGCAAUAUCAGGUCUGUGAUGCCCUUAGAUGUUCUGGGCCGCACACGCGCUACACUGAAUAGAUCAGCGUGU